CCUAGAUGAAAAACAAAAAGCAUUAGUCUCCCUGUCUCCUUCCUUUGUCUCGCGAUCCGCUGCUCUCUCCCCUCCUAUGUCUUGCCAUCUCGCGAUCUCGCGAUCUCUCCUUUGUCUUGCGAUCUCGCGAUCGGCUGCAGGAGAUUAGCGAACACGGCCUGAGAGUGAAGUGAUCGGUCGCCGCAGGGGUGAUUUGAGGGCUGUCGAAGGUAAUCGGAUCACCGUCGCUGUUGAGUAUGGUUGGAGAAAAUUUUAGGUAUUCAGAUGUGUUAGAGAUUCAUAAAAUUCUAGAUGCUACAUACAAGCGGUAUGCUACAGUGGUGAAAGAUCAUUUGCUUCGUGUUCAAAAAUUGGAGAAGAAAAUAAAGAAGGUUAAAAAAUUGAUAGCUGAACAAAAUUGUAAAUUGGAGACUGUUGAUAAAGAACUUAAAGCCGUUGAUAAAGAGCUUAAAAAACUCGAGGAAAAUAAGUCUUCAAGGAAAAGCUUGAAAAAAAGUCGUGAAUGAACAAAGUGGGACAAACAAUCUAUGGAAGAUUAUGAAUUUGAUUUUGAAGAUUUCUUAAAUUGAUCUUGUCACAAGAUUGCAUUUGGGGAAAUUACAAGCUUUUUGAAUUGUUUGACUUUUAUUUUCAUUUUUUUAAUGGUGAUUGUAUUUAAAUUGAAA